rnacentral:rRNA from 1 species
AUUGAACGCUGGCGGCAGGCCUAACACAUGCAAGUCGAGCGGAUGAAGGGAGCUUGCUCCUGGAUUCAGCGGCGGACGGGUGAGUAAUUCCUAGGAAUCUGCCUGGUAGUGGGGGAUAACGUCCGGAAACGGGCGCUAAUACCGCAUACGUCCUGAUUGAGAAAGUGGGGGAUCUUCGGACCUCACGCUAUCAGAUGAGCCUAGGUCGGAUUAGCUAGUUGGUUGGGUAAAGGCCUACCAAGGCGACGAUCCGUAACUGGUCUGAGAGGAUGAUCAGUCACACUGGAACUGAGACACGGUCCAGACUCCUACGGGAGGCAGCAGUGGGGAAUAUUGGACAAUGGGCGAAAGCCUGAUCCAGCCAUGCCGCGUGUGUGAAGAAGGUCUUCGGAUUGUAAAGCACUUUAAGUUGGGAGGAAGGGCAGUAAGUUAAUACCUUGCUGUUUUGACGUUACCAACAGAAUAAGCACCGGCUAACUUCGUG